rnacentral:rRNA from 1 species
UUUGGAGGGUGCGAGCGUUGUCCGGAAUCACUGGGCGUAAAGGGCGCGUAGGUGGCUGGAGAAGUCAACGGUGAAAGCUUGGGGCUCAACCCCGAGUCGGCCGUCGAUACUCUUCGGCUUGAGCACUGUAGAGGCAGGUGGAAUUCCUGGUGUAGCGGUGAAAUGCGUAGAGAUCAGGAGGAACACCCAUGGCGAAGGCAGCUCUCUGGUCGACCUCUGACGCUGAGACGCGAAAGCGUGGGGAGCGAACGGG